rnacentral:tRNA from 1 species
GGCCCAGUGGCCUAAUGGAUAAGGCACCAGCCUUUGAAGCUGGGGACUGGUGGUUCAAGUUCUACCUGGGUUG